ensembl:lncRNA
GAGACAGAGAGAGAGGUGUUUUUGUUUUUUGGUGCAGAGGCUUCAAAAGGAAUUGUCGUGUGUCUGGAUAAUAACGUGUAAGCACUUGAUCUGGUCAGGGUCACGGCCUAUCCCAGGAACACUAGGCAUGAGGAAGGAAUACAGCCUGGAGGGUGAGCCCAGGAUUGAACCAGGGACUCUGGAGAUGUGAGUUGGCAACACUGUGCCAACGGUGUAAUAUUUUAAAUGCAUAAAUGUGAUGUAAUAUUUUAAAUGUAGAAAUAUUUACCUUGCAGAAUAUUUGCACCAAACCCUGCCUGUGUCCUACAUGCUUUCUUGUCAUCUUUCUUGUAGCGUUACUUAUGAUCCUGGGUUUGCCUCCUACUCUGCCAGAUUUUUAAAAAUAAACAAACAGUUCCGGAAAUUCUACAGGAAUCCCUACAGGAAUAUAUAUAUAUAUAU